rnacentral:rRNA from 1 species
CCGGGGCUUAANUCCGGUUUUGCAGUGGGUACGGGCUAACUAGAGUGCAGUAGGGGAGACUGGAAUUCCAGGUGUAGCGGUGGAAUGCACAGAUAUCAGGAGGAACACCGAUGGCGAAGGCAGGUCUCUGGGCUGUAACUGACGCUGAGAAGCGAAAGCAUGGGGAGCGAACAGGAUUAGAUACCCUGGUAGUCCAUGCCGUAAACGUUGGGCACUAGGUGUGGGGGACAUUCCACGUUUUCCGCGCCGUAGCUAACGCAUUAAGUGCCCCGCCUGGGGAGUACGGCCGCAAGGCUAAAACUCAAAGGAAUUGACGGGGGCCCGCACAAGCGGCGGAGCAUGCGGAUUAACUCGAUGCAACGCGAAGAACCUUACCAAGGCUUGACAUGCAUUAGAUCGCGUCAGAGAUGGCGUUUCCCUUCGGGGCUGGUGUACAGGUGGUGCAUGGUUGUCGUCAGCUCGUGUCGUGAGAUGUUGGGUUAAGUCCCGCAACGAGCGCAACCCUCGUUCUAUGUUGCCAGCGGUUCGGCCGGGGACUCAUAGGAGACUGCCGGGGUCAACUCGGAGGAAGGUGGGGAUGACGUCAAAUCAUCAUGCCCCUUAUGUCUUGGGCUUCACGCAUGCUACAAUGGCCGGUACAGAGGGUUGCGAUACUGUGAGGUGGAGCUAAUCCCUUAAAGCCGGUCUCAGUUCGGAUUGGGGUCUGCAACUCGACCCCAUGAAGUCGGAGUCGCUAGUAAUCGCAGAUCAGCAACGCUGCGGUGAAUACGUUCCCGGGCCUUGUACACACCGCCCGUCAAGUCACGAAAGUUGGUGACACCCGAAGCCG